UACGUAGGGAGCAAGCGUUGUCCGGAAUCAUUGGGCGUAAAGGGCGCGUAGGCGGCCUGAUAAGUCGGGGGUGAAAUUCUGCGGCUUAACCGCAGGACGGCCUUCGAGACUGUCGGGCUCGAGUACGGUAGAGGCUGGUGGAAUUCCCGGUGUAGCGGUGGAAUGCGUAGAGAUCGGGAAGAACAUCGGUGGCGAAGGCGGCCAGCUGGGCCGUUGCUGACGCUGAGGCGCGACAGCGUGGGGAGCAAACAGG
rnacentral:rRNA from 1 species